AUGGCCGGUGCUGGAUCGAGCUCAUCCGCGCCUGGAAAAGGAGGCCAUCACUUGAUGAGUUGCCUAAAAGAAGUUCCGACACUCAGAGGUGACAACCACACUGAGUGGAGGAAGAAAGUAGAACUGGCAUUUAUUUGUGCUGAUCUGGAUUGGGUUGUGGAAGAACCACAGCCGGUCAGACCCAUAGAGCCAGUAAGAGAGGCCACUGAUGAUGAUGAUGCAUGGUCUAAAAAGAGGGGGGACUAUGCUCCUUUGGAGAUGUCCUACCUCAUAGAAAACCAAAAGUGGGUCAAUGCAAACAAAAAGUGCAUGGCAUUUAUAAAGAAUACAAUCGAGAGCACCAUUGUGGGCUCCAUUGCAGAGUGCACUUCCGCAGGGGAGUUGCUUACAAAGAUAAAGAGCCAGUUUACUGGCUCUUCAAAGAUAUAUGCCACCCAGGUGUUAGAGCAACUAGUGACAGAACACUACACAGGUGGCAGUCAUGGAAUAAGAGAGCACAUCCUGAGGAUGAGCAAUAUGGCAGCAAAGCUAAAGACCAUGGAUGAGGAUCCGGAGAUCAAACCAAAGCUCCUGGUCCACCUGGUCAUGGCUUCACUGCCAAAGGAGUUUGAAACUUUUGUUGUAAACUAUAAUAUGUCACCCGGAACAUGGGACAUUGAAAAGACAAUAGCAAUGUGUGUCCAAGAAGAGGACAUACUCAAAGCUGCACAUGGUGGUUCACUCAACUAUGUGAAGGAUCACAAGAAAAAAAAUUAUAAUCAAAACAACAAAGGUUCUCCUUCAAAGCAUGGAAAAGCCCCCUAUCAACAUCAUCAUCAGCAACAGCCUGUCUUAGUGGACAAAGACACUUGUCUCCACUGCAAGAAGAAAGGGCAUUACAAGAAAGACUGUGUUGCCUGGCUGAAGUCAGUCAUGGCAAGAAGAGGGAUUCCAUUCGACGCGGACUACACUAAGAAGCAAAAGACGCAUUGA
rnacentral:rRNA from 1 species